rnacentral:rRNA from 1 species
AUUGGUGUCUAUGACGCGGAGGUUCACCCGUUCCCAUCCCGAACACGGUAGUUAAGCUUCGCGGUGCCGACAAUACUUGGCGGGUGACUGCCUGGGAACAUAGGUCGAUGCCAAUA